UAAAAAUAGAAAUACAUACAGCGCCACAAAAGUGUAAACGACAUCGACCAUAAUGGCUGCCUUUUAUUUAGUUUAUUUAUUUAUUGUGCAUUUGUUGUGUUAUUACGAUAAUAAUUAGUUGUUAUUAGUUAAAAAUUUGUGAAUAUAACUCAAACAUGGUCCAGAUGAACUUGUAAAAUGGAAAUUGGUGCGUGUCGGUGAAGAUUUUCGUGUUAUAGCACUUGGAUUGCCUGUUUCAAGAUAGACUGGUAAUUUAUUGGAUCCAUCGUUAAGAUCAAGAUUUCAAGCACGAGAUCAUCUUAGUUACCAGCUUGGUACGAACUUAGGGUGCAGGACGUGGUUUUGUUUGUACAGAUUGCAGUGAAUUGCCACAGAUUUUAAAACAAAUUUUUACAGCAUCUGUUCUACGAUAACGAUAGAUUUAUUAUUAAAUUCUAGUUCAAUUUAAAAAUAUUUGUUAGAAUAUUAAUUGAAUGGUUCCGUACCUAA